rnacentral:tRNA from 1 species
GGUAAGGUGGCCGAGCAAAGGUAGCGAACUGUAAAUUCGCCAACAGGGCAUAGAACCCUUCUUACA